GUCUGUUUCAUCAGAGGCUAUAGACCCCAAGGAGAUAGCUUAGUAGUUACUUCACUUAAUUAGCAGAAAAUGAGGCCCAGUGGUUUGGAUGAUUCUACCCACAUCCAGAUGCUGUAAGAAACCUCAGUCCAUACGAAUGACCGCUCAGCAUUCCCAUAUUCCCCCUCCCAGAACAUAUGAUCUAUUUCUUACCAAUCUAACUCAUCCUAGCUAGCGAUCUGCUAACAAAAGCAAUCUUUCCUCAAAUCAAAGUUUCUUCACCCUUUGUUUGUUUUUGGUGUUGCUUAAGAAAUAGCACUUCAAAUGCCCUCAGCCUUAAAAGAAAGCAGGCGGAUGUGGAAAGUAGUCUGAACCACUGUUGUCUCUGCACUGACACUUCCCGCAUUUUAAUAAGCUGGCACUCUACCAAGCUCUGGUAGCAUAAGUGAGCAGAAUUUCCAUUUUUACGAAAGAUCUACAGUUGAUUUUCUAAAAAGGAACAAAAUAAUAACCAGAUGGUAGUUGAUAGGCCAACUUUAAAGGCAAGUGUUUGUUUUGAUCUCUUUUCCAAGGGAAAGAAAGUUUGGAUAAUUAGUAGAAGAAUAAGAAAAAAAAAAAAAGAAAGAGGAGAAUAAGUGCCUAAGAUAAUGUAUAAAGAGAAACGUGAGGAGGAAUGGAUAGUGGAAAACAAGGGGAAAAAUAGUCACUUCUAGAAAAAGAGAAAACAAAAGGAAAAAAUUUAACUGCAGAUUUUUCACCAAAUGGUUGCCUAGACAACUUAAUGAGGAGUAGUUCCGUCUCUACUGAAUAGUUGCUGAAACACACCCUGAAUUUAGAGUCUUUUGGCUCCACGACUAUCAACUGGAAAACCAUCAUGUUUCAGGCAUAUUAGUUAUGAGUGCCAUAUUUUCUAUAGUAUGCUUUUCUCCUAACAAUAGAAGUGGUUGGUUGCAAUCAAUUUGGUGUAUAAUAGAAGAAUAGGAAGAUUGAAACACAAGCAUGAUGAGAGUUUUGGAGUCAGAUUAGCCUAGGAUGGCAUAUUAAUAUGUGUAACAUCGAGUAACAAACUGAGGAAAAAGUAAAUUAGGAAGCAGCUCAAAGCCCAUUUGGCAAUGUAAGAUCAUCUUUACAUAUUGCCAAGGUUGCUGUUGAGAAGCAUUUUUCCAUGUAAAGAGUUUGGUACACUUGUGAGGCUAUUUAGUGUAGAGACAAAAAAUGUCACUUUUUACAAGAGAGGUUUUUUUUGUUUUUAAUCUUCCAUUAACAUCUGGCUCCUAUGGAUUCUGUUAUCACUGUUUUCUGUUUAAUUAAAUAAUUAUAAAAAAUAAAAAGUGUUUUUAAAUGCUUUACUGCUCCUAUUUGAAUUUGUCUUUUCUACAGUUUACUGUAUUUUCCAGAAAAUGUUAAUAUUACAUUGCUAUAAAUAAACCCAUCUCUACAAAA